rnacentral:rRNA from 2 species
GAACGAGUUAUCUGAACCUUCGGGGAACGAUAACGGCGUCGAGCGGCGGACGGGUGAGUAAUGCCUAGGAAAUUGCCCUGAUGUGGGGGAUAACCAUUGGAAACGAUGGCUAAUACCGCAUGAUGCCUACGGGCCAAAGAGGGGGACCUUCGGGCCUCUCGCGUCAGGAUAUGCCUAGGUGGGAUUAGCUAGUUGGUGAGGUAAGGGCUCACCAAGGCGACGAUCCCUAGCUGGUCUGAGAGGAUGAUCAGCCACACUGGAACUGAGACACGGUCCAGACUCCUACGGGAGGCAGCAGUGGGGAAUAUUGCACAAUGGGCGCAAGCCUGAUGCAGCCAUGCCGCGUGUAUGAAGAAGGCCUUCGGGUUGUAAAGUACUUUCAGUCGUGAGGAAGGCGGCGUCGUUAAUAGCGGCGUUGUUUGACGUUAGCGACAGAAGAAGCACCGGCUAACUCCGUGCCAGCAGCCGCGGUAAUACGGAGGGUGCGAGCGUUAAUCGGAAUUACUGGGCGUAAAGCGCAUGCAGGUGGUUUGUUAAGUCAGAUGUGAAAGCCCGGGGCUCAACCUCGGAAUAGCAUUUGAAACUGGCAGACUAGAGUACUGUAGAGGGGGGUAGAAUUUCAGGUGUAGCGGUGAAAUGCGUAGAGAUCUGAAGGAAUACCGGUGGCGAAGGCGGCCCCCUGGACAGAUACUGACACUCAGAUGCGAAAGCGUGGGGAGCAAACAGGAUUAGAUACCCUGGUAGUCCACGCCGUAAACGAUGUCUACUUGGAGGUUGUGGCCUUGAGCCGUGGCUUUCGGAGCUAACGCGUUAAGUAGACCGCCUGGGGAGUACGGUCGCAAGAUUAAAACUCAAAUGAAUUGACGGGGGCCCGCACAAGCGGUGGAGCAUGUGGUUUAAUUCGAUGCAACGCGAAGAAACCUUACCUACUCUUGACAUCCAGAGAAACUUUUCAGAGAUGGGAUAGGUGCCCUUCGGGACUCUGAGACAGGUGCUGCAUGGCUGUCGUCAGCUCGUGUUGGUGAAAUGUUGGGUAAGGUCCCGCAACGAGCGCCAUCCUAAUCCUUGUUUUGCCAGCGAGUAUGUCCGGGAACUUCCAGGGAACUGCCGGUUGAAUAACCCGAAGUAGUGUACAACGUCAAUUCAUCCAUGGUCCUAACGAGUUAGGC